AGCUUAAAACCCAAAGGACCUGACGGUGUCUCAGUUCCACCUAGAGGAGCCUGUUCUAGAACCGAUAAUCCCCGUUAAACCUUACCACUUCUAGUCAUCCCAGUAUAUAUACCGCCGUCGCAAGCUCACCCUGUGAAGGAUAUAAAGUAAGCAAAAUGAGUACAACCCAGAACGACAGGUCGAGGUGUAGCGUAUGAGGUGGAAAGAAAUGGGCUACAUUUUCUACUACAGAAUAUUAACGAAUAUGCAUAAUGAAACAAUGCUUGAAGGAGGAUUUAGCAGUAAAUAGGAAAUAGAGUGUCCAAUUGAAUCUGG
rnacentral:rRNA from 1 species